rnacentral:tmRNA from 1 species
GGGCUAGCAAUGCGGCCCCCGUCACCUUAUAUCGGGGAGGUCAGGGCAACCUGGCUAUGAUCGUAGAGGCAGAGUGGAAUAAGCGUUUAGGACGCGGGUUCGAUUCCCGCCGCCUCCACCAUGAAAGCAUGACCGCCGUCGUUCGCAGACGGCAAAGGUGCUUUCCUGAUGGGGGCGACAUGGGUUCGACUAGGCGUGGUAAAGGCUAGGCUGCGAUUAGGCUGAGCUACGGCCUUAACAGUGCAAAUUCACAAAUGCCAACGACAACGUUGACAUGGGUGCGGUUCGCCUCGCGGCGUAACCAUCCGGGGCUCGGGAAAGCCUAGCAACAGAAACGGCACCUC